UAUCAUGUUGAGACUCCUUAAUAAUUAUUACUCCCUGUUUUUAUAUUUUUAUUUUAUAAAGCAGAAAAAUAUUUUUGUUUUAUUUUUAUGCCACCACAGUGAAUGUACUUAUGGGUUUUAUGCCAUUUGUAUCCUCACAUGGGGCUUACUGUUUUUCACAUUUUUACUUUCUGUUUAGAACUUAAUUAACUAAGUGAACUACUUGAAAUAAUUGAAAGGGAAAGGAUAACUACCAAGUUUACCUCUUGGCAAGGUGUUCGGUGUUUUUAACUCCUCCGAACGGGACUCUCCUCCUUCUCAAUUAUCCUGAGGUUCGUUGGGUGGCGUAGUCGGUACUUCCGGUAGCGCCUCCUCUUCAUGUAUAGUUAUCUUCCUUGUCCACACCUGACUUGGUGCUUCGGUCUCCUCUGGAUAAUUUUGUUUAAACUCAACGUCUUCUGACCUUACAACUUUUCCUUCGUAAUCUGCCCAUCCGUCCUUGAUGAUUUGCCUCCUCUGGUUGCGGUUGCGUCGUCUUCUUCUUGUCCUGACCUGCUUAGAAUCUUCAACUAUAUAGUUAGAAUCAUUAAAGUAAUGGCGUACCUUCUCAGAGGGGAAAUACACGUGGACUUCUCCGGUUCCAAUGU
rnacentral:lncRNA from 1 species